CGCGUAGGCGGUGCUUUAAGUGAGAUGUGCAAUCCCCGGGCUUAACCUGGGAACUGCAUCUCAGACUGGAGCGCUAGAGUACUGGAGAGGGUGGUAGAAUUCCACGUGUAGCGGUGAAAUGCGUAGAGAUGUGGAGGAAUACCAGUGGCGAAGGCGGCCACCUGGACAGUAACUGACGCUGAGGCGCGAAAGGUGUGGGUAGCAAACAGGAUUAGAUACCCUGGUAGUCCACGCUGUAAACGAUGAACACUUGGUGUGGCGGGAGUUGACCCCUGCCGUGCCGUAGCUAACGCGCUAAGUGUUCCGCCGUGGGGAGUACGGUCGCAAGGCUGAA
rnacentral:rRNA from 1 species